rnacentral:rRNA from 1 species
UCGACGAGACCUUCGGGUCUAGUGGCGCACGGGUGCGUAACGCGUGGGAAUCUGCCCCUUGGUUCGGAAUAACAGUUAGAAAUGACUGCUAAUACCGGAUAAUGUCUUCGGACCAAAGAUUUAUUGCCAAGGGAUGAGCCCGCGUAGGAUUAGCUAGUUGGUGAGGUAAAAGCUCACCAAGGCGACGAUCCUUAGCUGGUCUGAGAGGAUGAUCAGCCACACUGGGACUGAGACACGGCCCAGACUCCUACGGGA